rnacentral:rRNA from 1 species
GCGGAGGAAAAGAAACCAACAGGGAUUACCUCAGUAACGGCGAGUGAAGCGGUAACAGCUCAAAUUUGAAAUCUGGCCUCACGGUCCGAGUUGUAAUUUGUAGAGGAUGCUUCGAGCAUGGUCUGGCCUAAGUUCCUUGGAACAGGACGUCAUAGAGGGUGAGAAUCCCGUAUGCGGCCAGGUGCCUACGCUCAUGUGAAGCUCCUUCGACGAGUCGAGUUGUUUGGGAAUGCAGCUCAAAAUGGGUGGUAAAUUUCAUCUAAAGCUAAAUAUUGGCCAGAGACCGAUAGCGCACAAGUAGAGUGAUCGAAAGAUGAAAAGCACUUUGGAAAGAGAGUUAAACAGUACGUGAAAUUGUUGAAAGGGAAGCGCUUGCAACCAGACUUGCGCGCGGCCGAUCAUCCGGUGUUCUCACCGGUGCACUCGGCCGUGCUCAGGCCAGCAUCGGUUUUGGCGGCUGGAUAAAGGCCCUAGGAAUGUAGCUCCUCUCGGGGAGUGUUAUAGCCUAGGGUGCAAUGCAGCCUGCUGGGACCGAGGACCGCGCUUCGGCUAGGAUGCUGGCGUAAUGGUUGUAAGCGGCCCGUCUU